AAAUUAGUGAUAAUUUGUGAUAAUUAUCUGUUAAGAAACAAAGCUAUGUUUUGGUACUUACCCGGCAUUGUAUUUUUUUGUCGUCAAUUUAUUAAUUAAAUUAAUUGGAAUUUAGUUAGUAGAUACUUUACGUUAGUAUAAAAUACUUUAGAGAUGUCAUCUCGUCCAUGUUCACCAAAGCCGAGACGAGGGAUUCGCUGUUCUGAAUCCGCUGAACCAAAUGGGAAAGUAAACAAUGAUGAGCACUUGGAUACAUCUGAUGAUAAUUACGACGGUAACUCAAUAGAAGCAGAAGCCAGUGACGAGAGCUGCGCAAAGGCGCCGGAGGAUACAAAGGAUCGUAUCGAAAGGGGUUGUGUAACUUACCUAGCAGGCAUAGUGGGAGCCAUAGUCUUGGCAUACUGGGUGUUUACAAUGCUAACGCCUUCAGAGAAAAAAUGUUCAUACAAUGAAUUACGUCAAAGACAUCAAAAGCAGGAUCAAAAAAUGUGGCAAUCGCUUUCUAUAAAUAUAGAACAUAUUUUGAAUGAACGCUCCACAAAACCGGCUGUGUAUCUUUUUCUUCACCAGGGAAGUAGAGAUAUGCAAGCAUUAGUAAAAAAUAUUGCUUCUGAUACAGUAAACUGCUUCGGUGGUGGUCAGUUAGUCGAGAUGAGUGAAAAUGAUUUUACCACUGAUGAUUAUGGCUAUGCUAUUGAGAAAUUCAAAAAUAAAAUAAAGAAGGGACAUGUGGCACUAAUUGUCCAUUUGAAUAAGAUACCCGUAGAGGCAGCGCGUGCUUUGCACUUCAUCUGCGAUGUACACACACCAAUCGCUGAAGGAGUGGUUAUAUACCUCACAUUAGUUACACCGUCCUCAAUAGCGUUUUCUAUAGCUAAAGUAACUAAUUCGAUACGACAUUUCUGUAAAACUCGUUGCUGGUGAUAUCGGUACUUUUUCGAAUUCUUAUCCGCUUUCGAGAAGAACUGUGCCACCAAAGCGUCACGUCUUUAUGAUGCGAAAGCGAUACUGACAUAAGCAUCUAUUUCGACAGAAAUGGGCCAAUGGUUUUCCUUGAGAUCUUUUUACGUGUUGAUCCUGAGGAAGAUGGACCUGGUUCCUCGUCUGGUUUGAGAACAUAUUCACUAGUUUUUGCCUUCCGUUUCUUCGAUCUUUCGGCAAUGGAGCCACAAUAUCUACUGAACUCCUCAUCAAUACUCAUGUUUCAUUCCAUGCGAAAUGCGAAGACGAUAAUCAACAGAAACAGUAAACGUCACUUCUUCAGUGUUACUUUUUUAAAUGUUCCACACUAGCAACUUACACGAUGAA
rnacentral:misc_RNA from 1 species